rnacentral:misc_RNA from 1 species
AGAGAGAGAGAGAGAGAAAGAGUAUCAGAGAGAAUGCUUCAAUUGGACCUUAGUAAUUGUAACAUAUUUAGUUCAUGUUGCUGUCAUUUUAUUAUUCCAUUUCAUUGCGGCCUCGAUACACAAGGUAUAAUUCCUACUCUUGGAUAGUGUUGAUACCAGUUAUGAAGUAUAGGAUCAGAUUGAUAAAAUUAAAGAAUUGAAUAAAGUUUCCUAAAAGAAAAGGGAGAGAAACCGGGGGGCCGGGGGAUAGUGGGGAGGAGGAGGAAAGUACGAAUGUUUUUGUGGUGGGUUUUGGUUCUCUAACUUGUGCAAACAAUAGGAAAAUUUGUUUCUCAGUCAUUUACUUUCUACAAUCAAUCACUGUUGGUUAUCCAAACCAGAAUGUUUUAUAUCACCACAACUUUAUUUUGCACAAAGCUUGGAUAACUUUCUUCAGAACCAAUUAUCAUAAUAAAUAGGCAGAUAACUAUUUUUUGUGCUGCAAAUGUGGUUUCAUUUAUUUUCCCCCCAAAUAUGCAAAUCAUGAGGAUUGUUCAUUUCAAGUUACUUCUUAUCCAAAAUUCAUUGACUUUUGAAACGUGCCAUGAGCAUUUAAGGAAGAAAACUAUAAGUAAAUGUUAUCAGCCCCAUCCAGGAGUUAGAUCUUAGAAGGAUAUGAUGACAGUUGCUUGAAGUAAUAAAUCAGUGCAGUUUUAUGAACCUCCUUUUUCUUGUAUAUUUAACAAUAGAAAGUAUUUGUUGCUGAUGAGUCUAUUUUUGUGUGCUGAUUCUCCAUAUGAAUCAAUUUCUUUCAUAUUUAAGGGGCUUGUAGGUCAACAUCCUAAAUAUGAAAUAUUUGGCAAUGAGAUGCUUGUCAUGUUUUGUAUAGAGUAUGAUACUGUCUGUUAAUAUCCCACAUUGGUAUGAGAUAGAGUACUAUGCCCCCUUGUAAAGUCUUGGGCAUUCCUCUCCUCUUGAGUUAACUUUUGGGGGAGAAUUAGGUCUACCUCAUUUUCUUAAGAUAUAUCAAAGCCUCCUCAAUCGAUGUUGAAUUCAGCCCUAGGCAUGAGGGGGUGUGUUAAUAUCCCAAAUUGGAUUGGGAUAGGGGUAAAUGUGACCCUUAUAAAGCCUUGGACACUUCUCUCCCUUGAAUUAGCUUUUGAGAUUGAGUUAGGCCCGGUUCAUAUUCUUAAGAUAUACUUUCUCGAGUGUUGCCUUUGUGAAUUGUGAUACUUUUUUUUUUCUAAUCCAUUUUCUAAGCCUGU